AACAUUUACCCUAACAAGCAGACUACUCAGACAUGAUGGAUGAAACAAACAACAUGAAU
rnacentral:sRNA from 1 species